CCUACGGGGGGCAGCAGUGAGGAAUAUUGGUCAAUGGGCGAGAGCCUGAACCAGCCAAGUCGCGUGAAGGAUGACGGCCCUACGGGUUGUAAACUUCUUUUGUCAGGGAGCAAUUGAGUCCACGUGUGGUCUUAGCGAGAGUACCUGAAGAAAAAGCAUCGGCUAACUCCGUGCCAGCAGCCGCGGUAAUACGGAGGAUGCGAGCGUUAUCCGGAUUUAUUGGGUUUAAAGGGUGCGUAGGUGGUUAAUUAAGUCAGCGGUGAAAGUUUGUGGCUCAACCAUAAAAUUGCCGUUGAAACUGGUUGACUUGAGUAUAUUUGAGGUAGGCGGAAUGCGUGGUGUAGCGGUGAAAUGCAUAGAUAUCACGCAGAACUCCGAUUGCGAAGGCAGCUUACUAAACUAUAACUGACACUGAAGCACGAAAGCGUGGGGAUCAAACAGGAUUAGAUACCCCAGUAGUC
rnacentral:rRNA from 1 species